rnacentral:rRNA from 1 species
UACGUAGGGACCGAGCGUUGUCCGGAUUCAUUGGGCGUAAAGAGCUCGUAGGCGGCUGUUCAAGUCGAACGUGAAAACUCGGAGCUCAACUCCGAGCCUGCGUUCGAUACUGGACGGCUAGAGUCUGGUAGGGGGGAUCUGGAAUUCCUGGUGUAGCGGUGGAAUGCGCAGAUAUCAGGAGGAACACCGGUGGCGAAGGCGGCAUCCCUGGACCAAUAUUGACGCUGAGGAGCGAAAGCCAGGGGGAGCAAAACGGGG